rnacentral:misc_RNA from 1 species
UCCCCCGUGAGGGGGCAGUCUCGCCUGACAUAUAAAACAGGCAACGAGGGUUGCGUUCGUUACCCCACUGAAGGGAACAACUCAAGCCACGAACUGACGACGACCAUGCAUCACCUGCUCUGCCGCCUUGCGGAAGCUCUAGUUUCCUAGAGCGAUCGUCAGAGUUUCAAACCCUGGUGAGGUUCUUCGUUUACCAUCGAAUUGAGCCGCACGAUCCACCGCUUGUGCAAGUCCCCGUCUAUUCCUUUGAGUUUUAAUCUUGCGAUCGUACUACCCAGGCGCCUAACUUAACGCGUUUGCUUCGCCUCACAGAGGGUCGAUACUCCGUAAAGCCAGUUAGGAUCGUUUAGGGCGUGGACUAC